ACAAUAAGCGGAGGAAAAGAAACCAACCGGGAUUGCCUCAGUACCGGCGAGUGAAGCCGGCAAAAGCUCAAAUUUGAAAUCUGGCACUUUCAGUGUCCGAGUUGUAAUUUGUAGAAGUAGUUUUGGGACUGGUCCUAAUCUAUGUUUCUUGGAACAGGACGUCAUAGAGGGUGAGAACCCCGUAUGAUGAGGCCCCCAGUCCUUUGUAAAACGCUUUCGAAGAGUCGAGUUGUUUGGGAAUGCAGCUCUAAGUGGGUGGUAAAUUCCAUCUAAAGCUAAAUAUUGGCGAGAGACCGAUAGCGAACAAGUACAGUGAUGGAAAGAUGAAAAGAACUUUGAAAAGAGAGUGAAAAAGUACGUGAAAUUGUUGAAAGGGAAGGGCAUUUGAUCAGACAUGGUGUUUUGCGCCCUUUGCUCCUUGUGGGCGGAGGAUACGCAGCUCACUGGGCCAACAUCAGUUUUGGGAGCAGGAUAAAUCUGUAGGAACGUAGCUUUCUUCGGGAAGUGUUAUAGCCUAUGGGAAUACUGCUACCUGGGACUGAGGACUGCGUCUUUUGACAAGGAUGUUGGCAUAA
rnacentral:rRNA from 1 species